UGAUGAUGGUGAGGGAAUUUUUUGAGCAUACCAUUAAAUUUCUCACAAGCUUAGUAGAGAUUCUCUUUUUUUUUUCUUUCUGAAACUCAAGAUCUCGCUCCUCAAGCA
rfam:Capsicum annuum cultivar Zunla-1 chromosome 5, whole genome shotgun sequence